rnacentral:rRNA from 1 species
UACGAAGGGGGCUAGCGUUGUUCGGAAUCACUGGGCGUAAAGGGCGCGUAGGCGGCUUUAUAAGUCGGGGGUGAAAGCCUGUGGCUCAACCACAGAAUUGCCUUCGAUACUGUAGAGCUUGAGACCGGAAGAGGUAAGUGGAACUGCGAGUGUAGAGGUGAAAUUCGUAGAUAUUCGCAAGACCACCAGUGGCGAAGGCGGCUUGCCAG